AGAGCAACAUGUGUUUUAGUAAAAUAUACAUGCAUACAUACUCACACACAAGUAACUAUUGUAUACACCAAAAAUUAAAACACGGAUGUAUGCAUAGGUAAAUGCAUAUAUCAACACCCUAUAUAUAUAUAUGUAUGUGUAUAUAUAUAUAUAUAUAUAUAUAUAUAUAUAUAUAUGUAUAUGCAUCUAUAUAUAUAUAUACCUACGUAUAUAUACACAUAUACAUAUAUGUAUAUAUAUACAUGUAUAUAUAUAUAUAUAUAUAUAUAUAUAUAUAUAUAUAUACAUUAUACACACACACACACACACACACACACACACACAUAUAUAUAUAUAUAUAUAUAUAUACAUAUAAUUAUGAAGCAAACAUUUGCACUCAUUCUUAUGCACUUGUGUGUCCUUGCGUGCUUUGAGUAUCACAGUAGGGUCAAACGAAAAUCUGUGAAGAUCAUUAAAGCAGGAAACACAGCUAAAUAUACACGAAAAUGUUUGUUGUUUACAGUAGUCCCGUGCACAGGCAUUUGAAGCUGAAAAAAUAUUUUGGAAGUGAAAGAGAAAUUUCGUUAUGCACGCACACAUACACGCAUACACAGAUAUUUGAUGCAAGCUUGUUGAGAUAAGGUUAAAAGUUUUGUUGUUGGCGAAUCCAGGAAAAAUUGAAAUGUAAACUUAUAUUUUCCUCUUUGGGUCGGGAUAACUAUUGUAAUUAUUAUAAUGAACAGAAGUUUUUCACGUAAAUGUAAGGACAUUAUAUGAAUCGCGUGUUCCUAAAAGUUACGUAUUGUCGAGCUAUGCUAAUAUAUUAGUAUAACUUUAAAAUGUUACCUAUUUUCUAGUGAUAUUUUUCCUAACCAAAAUCGAGACUUUUUUUUUCAGUGAGUUGUAUUUCCGUUCAACAAAGUUUUGAAUUAAAAAAAAAAAAACUUUCCUAAAGUAACAACAAAAUUGACUAACUCCGUAUAUAAAACAUGUAUUUAUACAUAAAAAUGUUUAUUAACAUAGGUGAAAUGCGAGUACUAGAAUAAAAAAUAAAAACAAAACACUACUAAAGUAGACACGAUCAUUUAUUAAAACUUUAUGGCAAACCUACACAUGUAUCCCAAACCCCGAUUUAGUUCACUCAUAACUUUCUGAAAAUGAUAUUUUUAAAUGAAAUUUUCUACAAACACCUUUCAGAGAGUGCAGAUUACGAUUAUAUCGGAAUUUAACGUAAAAAAAAAAAAAAAAAAUUGGUCGAUGCACACAAUAUACACACUGAUACAUAUUACAUAGUUUUUUUUUACCAAAAUUUCAAGUCUCAUUUUGUAGAGGUGUAUAUAUGACAUGUGUUUGUAUGUAUGUGUGCUUGCCUAUCAACUUUUCGUCAUAAAUUCCGAUAUAAUCGUAAUCUAUACCAUCUGCAAGGUAUUUGGGGAAAAUUUCAUUAAAAAACUAUCCACUUUUUAAAGUUAGGAGGAAACAAAGUCGACUCGUGUGAAUCAUCCGAAACUCCUGUUAUUUAGCAUUCUAAAAAAGUUUUUCACAAGAAAUUCCGAUUAAAUCGUAAUCUACACCACCUGAAAGGUAUUUGUAGAAAAUUUCAUGAAAGAAAUAUCCAUUUUUCUGAAAAAGUUAUGAGGAAAUAAAAUCAAGGUGCGGAGGUGGGGUGCACACUUGUGUAGGUAUACCAAUUUAAUCACAAAUGUACAGUAGACUUUUACAUGGAAUCGUGACUAAUUCACUGCUUAACUAUUAUAUAAAUAGUCACUACUAUGGCAAGCCACUACUUAACUAUUAUAUAAAUAAUAGGUAGGAACAUCAUGCUUGAUGAAUAUGUAUUAUAAAUCCACCUUUCCAUGCAUGAAUGAAUCAGAUGAAGUUUGUUAAGGCAGAUGGCCAGAUGUCCUUCCUGUCACCAAUACUUACCUGUUUCCAAGCAAAGUAAUAUUUUACCCAUGGCCAGACUUUUUUUUAUUCUUUGCAGAAUAUUGGAAAUAAAUGACACUGCUUGUAUGACAGUGACACUCACUUUUACGACUAUCCUGCGAUGUUAAGACAAGGAGACACAAACACAAACACAUUCAUACACCAUUAUAUAUAUAUAUGCAUCUAUGUGUGUAUAUAUAUAAAUAAGUCAAAUAUGAAUUUGCAACAUGAAAUAGAUCAGAAAAAAGGGAAUGAAAUAGCUUUGCAUAGGGCAGUUUGAGAAAGUUGUUGACUUAUUCUGUAUAUAAAUAGAAGGUGAUACAAAGCAAAACAGAAUUGGAAUCCACAGUUAAGAAGCAAUCACGAACUUUCAACAGCUCUUGAAGCUUCCCUUUAUGAUAAAUAAUAUGAGAAUGAUGAAAACACAAUAAUUAAGCAGUAAAAUAGUAUUCAGAAAUAACGUGAGUAAAAUAUCAUAAUUGUUGUUGGGGAGUGUAGUUGAUUAGAUCAACCACAUCCUUCAAAUACAUUUACAGGCAUGACACAGUUUAAGGUUUACAUAUACUGGAAGUUACAGCAGCAUUGUGAAAUACUAACAGAAAGGAGGUCUUAUAUAAACAUACAAUAGAAAAAGAUCUGAGAAUGACAAGGACACCAUACUCUGAAACUUGUCAAUUUGUGUACAGAAAGAAAAAUUCAGGCAAAUUGACUGGAUUAUUGUUGGUCAAGAAUCACCAGAAAUAGAUUUGACCCCUUCUCCACCAAUCCAAGCAUCAGUCCCCACAGAUGACAAUGUAUUUCUCAAGCAAUUGAAGAAAUUAUCCAUGUAUAAUGAUCUGGAAUUAGAGAUAACCAGAAUGUUAGAGCCAAACAAUUCUUAUAUAAAAUGAGUCAUGAGAAUGAUGAAAAAAUAAGUCAUUACCAUCAUCAUCAUCAUCAUCGUCGUCAUUAUCAUCAUUUUGAUGUCCACUUUUCCAUGCAUGAAUGAAUCAGAUGAAGUUUGUUAAGGCAGAUGUCCAGAUGCCCUUCCUGUCACCAAUACUUACCUGUUUCCAAGCAAAGUAAUAUUUUACCCAUGGCCAGACUUUGACACUGCUUGUAUGACAGUGACACUCACUUUUACGACUAUCCUGUGAUGUUAAGACAAGGAGAUACAAACACAAAUGCAUUCAUACACCAUUAUAUAUAUAUGCAUCUAUGUGUGUAUGUAUAUAUAUAUAUAUAUAUAUAUAUAUAUAUAUAUAUAUAUAUACAUACAAAAUAAGAAAAUAGAGGAAUAGAUUCAUAUAUAUACAUCUAUGUGUGUGUAUAUAUAUAUAUAUAUAUAUGCAUGUAUGUGUGCAUACACACACACAUAUAUCUAUGUAUGCAUGUGAAUAAAUAUACAUUUAUGAAUUUAUAUAUAUAUAUAUAUACACACACAUAUGUAUACAUAUGCAUAUUUAUAUAUAGAUAAUCACAUAUAUAUGUAUGUACACACACACACACACAUAUAUAUAUAUAGGCUUCUUUUAGCUUCGCUUAUACCAAAUCCACUGACAUGGCUUUGGCCAUCUGAACACUAUAGUAGAAGACACUUGUCUAAGGUGUCAUGCUGUGGGACUGAACCGGAAACCACAAUUUGGGAAGCAAACUUUUUACCACCCAAGACUUUUACAAAUAUUCAUUUCUAAUAUAUGUGGAGGCCACAUACUUUAGAGAAAGAUGAUGAUAAUAAUAAUAAUAAUAAUAAUAAUAAUAAUAAUAAUAAUAAUAAUAAUAAUAAUAAUUAUUAUUAUUAUUAUUAUUAUUAUUAUUAUUAUUAUUAUUAUUAUGGCCAGAAUAAUUGGGAAAGUAUUAGAUAGCUGAAAAGAACGGAUAGCAUGGUACCAUAGGCUGCAAGUAGCAGGCCUGCUAAGCAUGCAAAACUUCAGGAGUUCCAACAAAAUUCAAGUUACAAAAAAAAAAAAAAAAUGAUGCUUUCAAAUUUUGGCACAAAGCCAGCAAGGUUCUUGGGAGUGGGGUAAGUCUAUUACAUCAAUCCCAGUGUUCAAUUGACUCUUAUUUUAUCGACACCGAAAGAAUGGAAAAAACUAAGUGAACCUUGGCUGAAUCUGACUCAGAAUGCAGAGAUGGACAAAAUGCUAAUAAUAAUAAUAAUAAUAAUAAUAAUAAUAAUAAUAAUAAUAAUAAUAAUAAUAAUAGGGUAUGUAUGGUAUAUACACCUCGUGUGAUGAAAGAUAAACUUAAACUCAGAAUAUUAAGAAUAAAACAAAACACUAAUGGCUAAUGAUUCUGCAAUCUGUUGCUAAUAUAUUUUUAACAUAGGCACUCGGUCAGAAAAUUUGGGGUGGUGGGGUGGGGGAGGAUAUAAUUGAUUAUAUCAGGAAGGAUAAGGGGCAAAGUUGAUCUUAGCAAAAUUUGAACUUUGGAAGCAGCAGCAGCAGUAGUAGCAGUAGUAGUAGUAGCAGCAGCAGCAGCAGCAGCAGCAGCAGCAGUAGUAGUAGUAGUAGUAGUAGUAGUAGUAGUAGUCCUUUUUACUAUAAACCCAAGGCCUGAAAUUUUGUAGGAUGGGGCCACUUGAUUACAUCAACUGCAGAGCUCACUUGAUACUUAUUUCACCGACCCUGAGAGGAUGAAAGGCAAAGUUGGCCCCAGUGAAAUUUGAACUCAGAUUACAAAGAACUGGAAGAAAUGCAGCUAAACAUUUUGUCUGACAUGCUGGUAAUAUGAGUCGUUAAAGGUAAAAUUGGGAACAUUAAAACAAAAUGUAUAAUUUAAUACAAUGGAAAUGAAGGAACAGAGGACUAACAGACAGACAAAUAGGGAGGGAGAUAAACACAUAUAAAGACAGAGAGACAGAUCGAUAGUCAAAGAUGGAAAUAUGGUGUUGAACUGUGGUCGUCGAUUUAUUGGGUGUUUUUUUAUAUUUUCCAGACAUUUAGGAGUUUAUUUGUCAACACAUUUUAUUUAUUCAUUCAAGAAACUUGGAAGUUUUCCAUCCCAUUACUCUGAGUUGCAUUUCUCUCUCUCUCUCUUUCUCUCUCUCUCUCUUACACACACACACACACACACAAUCGCAUGCAUAUACAAACCUGCGUGCACACACAUACACGCAUACAUGCACACACUGCACACUGUUAAUUGUAAAUAAAGAACAAUAUAAAAUUGAAGAAGGACUAUUUUUCAAUCCUGCAUAUUAAAACUUUAACCACUAAGAUUACAGAGACAUCUUUAAAAAACAAACAAAAAAAAAAAAAAACAAUACAUAAAACAAGUGUUUUUAGCAAUUUUUAAGGGUUUGUAAUAGUUGUCCAUCCUAUUGCUUAAAUAAAUGAUAAGGGAAGUGACAGCUACUUCAUAUGCAAUGUAUUUCCCACUCUAUGCCUUGGCAGAUUUCUCUCUAUCUGUCAUAUAGUUGCAACACACAAGACGUAACACUCAUUUCAUUUUUACCUAGAAAUCUGUCACCUACAACAUCAAACUUGUUGAUCUCCCCUUUAUCUCCACCCUCACAAAAGUAACAAUUUUAAACACCGUUCUUACUGGACUUGCUUUCAAUCUCUUAGUCGGCAUUUUUCCUUAGCUUGUUAAACUCACAAGGGGAUGGGAUGUGCCUGUCAGAUGGAAUGUUUUAUUCUUACGAGAUCUAAUUCUUUCUCUUAUGUUGACAUUGAAAAAAAAAAAAAAAAUCAAUAUAUGAAUUUUGCUUCUUUCCCUACAAUAUCCAAAGUAGAAUUCUCCGGAGACUAGGAACAAUAUGCACAUAUGCACAUAUGCAAACGUAUGUAUGUAUAUCUAUCAUAUAUAUAUAUAUAUAUAUAUGCAUAUAUAUAUAUAUAUAUAUAUAUAUAUGCAUAUAUAUAUAUAUAUAUAUAUAUAUAUGCAUGCAUAUAUAUAUACAUAUAUAUAUACUUGCAUGGAAAACGGACGCUAAAUGAUGAUGAUGAUUAUGAUAUACAUAUAUAUAUAUAUAUACAUUUAUAUAUAUACAUAUAUACAUUCAUACAUAUAUAUAUAUAUAUAUAUAUAUAUAUAUAUAUAUAUAUAUUAUACAUAUUUAUUAUUAAUAAUCUGCAGAAGUUACUGAGUGACUCAAGGGCCAGAAGUUUCGUGCAUUCGUGCACAAAACUCUUGCUUCUUAAGUAACUCUGUUGAUUAUUAGUAAUAAAAACAAGUAUAUAUACACUUGCUUUUGGAGUUCUGUUUUCUCUUUUGCAUCAACAAACCUACACACUCACGCACGCGCACAUACAUACAUAUGUAUAUAUGUAUGUAUGUGUGUAUUUGUGUGUGUGUGUGUAUAUAUAUAUAUAUAUAUAUAUAUAUAUAUAGGUCCCAGUUUGAGUCGGGGUUAACCACAGUAAAUUCUAGUCCUGUAGAAGCUCCUUCUAUAAAAUAAAAUAUAUAUAUAUAUAUAUAUAUAUGUAUUUAUAUAUUUAUAUAUGUAUGUAUAUAUAUAUAUAUAUAUAUAUAUAUAUAUAUGAGUAUGUAUGAAUUAAUAUAUAUUUCUACCUUCUGCUAUGGUUAAUUGGUGGGCAUUUUAGGGCCAGACUGAAAGAGUAUCAAAAGUGAGAAAAGUUCAAAAACAUUUUAUUCAUUUAUCAUUUGAUAAAAUAAUCACUAGAUAAUAAAAAAAAAUUACAUCUUUUAAUGUUACUCUGAGUUAGUUUAAAGUUUAUAUUUAUUUCUUUCAUUUGUCAAGAGAAUAAGUGUAGUAGUAUUGAAAUAUAAUAUUGGUUUCAAAUUUAGGCACAAGGCCAGUAAUUUCGGGCAGCUAGGUAAGUCGAUUACAUUGACCUCAGCGUUCAACUGGUACUUAAUUUAUCGACCCAAAAGGAUAAAAGGCAAGAGCAUAAAGAUGAGCGAAGAUCCACUAAAUGCUUUGCUAGCAUGCUAAUGAUUCUCUCAGCUCACCAUUUUAUGUAUUGAAAUAAAUAUUAAUAAAUAAAAUGCUUUUCUUUAAUAAUUCUAUGAUCAACAUUUUUCACAGCAGAAAUUUCAUAACGGAAUAUGAAUCAAUGAUGAAGUAAAUAUUUCGCACACAAAUAGUAGCAAUAAUUCUUAAUUAAUAAUUUAUAGUAUUUCUAAUGUUUCUCAGAUAUACAAUUAAUAAGAUAUUUAUAAUGUAAUAUCAAAAUAUGAACAGACAAAAGGUGAAAUUUCUGUCAGAAUAAUUGUUUAGCACUUAUACAUAUUUUGCCAGUUAGUAGUUCUAAAUGGUUGUUAAGUUGGUGAAGUACUGAUACAUUUGCUUUACAAUUUCAUAUUUUACAUAAUAUCAAUGAUUCAAUGAUAAACGGCAACAGAAUAAGGUGCUUCACGUAUGGCAUUUUUAAUCUUAUCUGUAUCGAGAUGGCUAAGACAGCGUGUACCAAAAACAUUGAUGCAUAAUUUUAUAAACAUAGUCAGAAGUGGUUUAAAGAUAAUAUUCAUGACUUUAUUCAAGGGUCAUCAAGACUUGUCGGAAGAAGAGAAGGGAAAGUUCAAAGGUCAUGGAAGGUGUCAAACUGAGUGACAGAGUUAAGCAAAAACGCAGUUUAUGUGCAUUGUGUGUGUGUGUGUGAGAGACUUUAAAACUAGAAUAUGAGCAAAUUUUACUUUGUUUACUUUAUA
rnacentral:lncRNA from 1 species